AUUGAACGCUGGCGGCAUGCCUUACACAUGCAAGUCGAACGGCAGCACGGGAGCAAUCCUGGUGGCGAGUGGCGAACGGGUGAGUAAAGUAUCGGAACGUGCCCAGUCGUGGGGGAUAACGUAGCGAAAGUUAAGCUAAUACCGCAUACGAUCUAUGGAUGAAAGCGGGGGAUCGUAAGAACUCGCGCGAGUGGAGCGGCCGAUAUCAGAUUAGGGAGUUGGUGGGGUAAAGGCCCACCAAGCCGACGAUCUGUAGCUGGUCUGAGAGGUACGACCAGCCACACUGGGACUGAGACACGGCCCAGACUCCUACGGGAGGCAGCAGUGGGGAAUUUUGGACAAUGGGCGAAAGCCUGAUCCAGCCAUGCCGCGUGCAGGAUGAAGGCCUUCGGGUUGUAAACUGCUUUUGUACGGAACGAAAAGGACUGCCCUAAUACGGUGGUCCCAUGACGGUACCGUAAGAAUAAGCACUGGCUAACUACGUGCCAGCCGCCGCCGUAAAAC
rnacentral:rRNA from 1 species